rnacentral:rRNA from 1 species
GAUGAACGCUAGCGGCGUGCCUAAUACAUGCAAGUCGAGCGAAUGGAUUAAGAGCUUGCUCUUAUGAAGUUAGCGGCGGACGGGUGAGUAACACGUGGGUAACCUGCCCAUAAGACUGGGAUAACUCCGGGAAACCGGGGCUAAUACCGGAUAACAUUUUGAACCGCAUGGUUCGAAAUUGAAAGGCGGCUUCGGCUGUCACUUAUGGAUGGACCUGCGUCGCAUUAGCUAGUUGGUGAGGUAACGGCUCACCAAGGCAACGAUGCGUAGCCGACCUGAGAGGGUGAUCGGCCACACUGGGACUGAGACACGGCCCAGACGCCUACGGGAGGCAGCAGUAGGGAAUCUUCCGCAAUGGACGAAAGUCUGACGGAGCAACGCCGCGUGAGUGAUGAAGGCUUUCGGGUCGUAAAACUCUGUUGUUAGGGAAGAACAAGUGCUAGUUGAAUAAGCUGGCACCUUGACGGUACCUAACCAGAAAGCCACGGCUAACUACGUGCCAGCCGCCGCCGUAA